UUUUAUUACUUGUGAGUUGUAGAUUUUUCUUAUGCGGUGAAUCCCCCUUUGCGGCGGGGCGUCCAGUAGAAAUAGUUAAUGUUCCUCGCGAACCAUAUUGACUGUGGUAUGGUUCACCGGGAGGCACCCGGCACCGCAAUUUUUUAUAAAAUAAAAUACACACCCUAUGGUUCAGAGCGGUGUCUUUUUAC
rnacentral:sRNA from 1 species